GCCAGGUGUGGUGGUGCACACCUGUAGUCCCAGCUACUCAGGAGGCUGAGGCAGAAGAAUCACUUGAACCCAGGAGGCGGAGGUUGCAGUGAGCGGAGAUUGUGCCACUGUACUGCAGCCUGGGUGACAGAGUGAGACUCUGUCUCCA
rnacentral:SRP_RNA from 1 species